rnacentral:lncRNA from 1 species
UCCUAUGUUUGAAUAUCGGUCAUAAAUUAAUUGCAGAAAUAUAAAUAUACACAAUUAUUUGAUGACGGAGAAAUCUCAAUGUGGGUAAAACUCUGGGCCCAAACCAGUAGGAAUCCACUAUAAACGUAAAUGAAAUUUACAAUCAGCCAGACUCAACCUAAACUGGUUUUUCUGACAUCCUGACCAUAGUUUCCUCAAGCCAUUCCUGGAAUGUGUGAUCCUGCACCAACUCCCGGCACCUAGCCCUCCUGGAUUGCGUGCUACACCAAUUCCCAAGUCUUGAUUUUGUCUAUCUCCUGUUGAUUCAAGAGAAACGUCUGUUCUCUAAUAAUCGAGACUCCGAUCUCAUUCCUCGAUCUCCAAGAAUCAACAAAGGCACUGGAAGAUUGUGUUGUGGUGUUUGACUAAUGUUGAUUUGAUCUUUUUCAUGUAAUUGAUCAAAUCAAAUAUAGGGUUGAAUGAGAAAGUUAAAUUGUAGGAGAGUUUUCUUCAAUUUCAAUACCUUGAAAGCACAUUUCGAAUUCGGCGCAGUUUUUCUCCUGUAUAUGUCUUUUUGGUAUUUCUGGUCGGGUUAAAGUAUCGAAAAAAGGAAAAUAGGGUUUUAUGGGUAACACUGUCGUUCGAGCGACAAGCUAGCGACGUUGUUUCAUUCGAGCAAAGUGGGGGCGAGAAGCGAGCCACGACCAUUCUGUUUUUGUCGCUCGAACGACCACUUGGCGAGCAGCUAGCGAAACUUCGAUAGACACAUCUUGCCCUACUUCAUAGGUCAAACCCUAGCACACUUGGCCAAAAUUUCAACUGAGUCCCUCAUGUUUUACACAGGUGCACAAUGACUCCUAUCUUUUAAUAAUUGACAAAUUGACUCCAAACUUUUGAGCAUUUACACUUUUACCCUUUUGUUCACAGAAUAGCCAGCACAAAAUCUAACAAAUUCCCCCUUUGGCAUUCUGUGACAAAAGCAAAUUACAGCAGCAAUGACAAUCUAAUACAUAGACUCAACUCACUAUUGCCUUGUCAUCUUUUAACCUGUUUCCUGAAAUCACAACUCACAUACCUAGUGUAAAAGCACGAGAAACAGUAACAUAAGUACAUAAAAGGUAAAGAAUCAUGAAUAGCCAUAACAAUGUACUAAUAUACUAGAUUAAGAGAUAAUAUUAAUAUCAAUGUAAGUCAAACAACCAAAAACAUACAUCAAUAGUGCAAAGCAUCAAUACAUAAUCCAGCCAAAAAUAUCAAUAAAUCCCAAAAAUUAACCCCACUCCUCCUUUUUAUCACAAAUGGCAAGGGAAACUCCAAGCAACUAAGCAGGACCAUCAUCUCCAACAUCCCCGUCCUCAGAAUCCUGGGCGUCAGACUCAUAAUCCCAGUGCUCACGCAUCCACCGAAUACCACGCUGAACAAGAGUAAUAGCCCCUCGUAAUGUAGCAAACUCCACAGUAUGAUGCUCGGAAGCAACUCGUAACUGAGUAAUGUCAGCCAUCAUGUGGGCUUGCUGCUCAAUGAGAAUCGACAUCUGACCUAUAAGUGCGAUAGUGGGGUCAACAUGAACAGUAGCCGGAGUAAGCUGGUCGGGUGGCGGAAUAGAAGUGGAAGAAGAGGGAAUAUCUGAAGUGGACGGAUGAACCUCGGAAGGAGGCGAAGGAAUAGCUGAGAGAUCAGCAAGUAAAUCACCCAAAGGAUCAGCAGGCACUGUCGGGUCGACGGGCUUAGCAGGAGCAGAGGCAGAGGCAGAGGCAGAGGCAAAAGAGGUGACAUGUGACCUACUUUGAAAGAUGGUAGUGUGCCCUAUGGGACGAAGCACUCGUCGUGAGACCCCAUCGGGAAAGGAAGCCCCAAGUGAUGUCACCAAGCGGUGGAUCAAGCAAGCAUACGGCAGACCAAUUCGAUGACCGGAAGUGCGAAAGGUACGUAGAAUGUGUUGGCAAAUGAAGGUAGGUAGGUCAAUUGAAUCUCCAUGAGUAAAGCAAAAAGAAACCUCACCUUGUCCAUAGGUAGGGAAGAAGUGUGGGAGACGGAUCACAGAUUUGUACACCCAAUGUGCAACAAAAUCUGUCUAUCGGUCGGGAGCGAACCAGUGCGAAUCGCCUCAGGCCCACCUCCCAAAGGGCUAUUAAACAAGGUGGAUCGAACUAGAGAAUUGGUCGGAAUAGAAUCAACCAAGAGAUACGAGUAAACGGGGUGAAUGACACGGGGAACAUAUAUGGAACAGGAAAUAACAUCAGGGGAAAUCCUAAGGGUUUGACCCCGGAGGAACACCCGGAAGGACGAACCACUAAUGUCAUGUAUGUUCGCAUAGAACUCCUAAACAAGAAGACUAGGCGGGGGAUCUAACCCAAUCAGCAAGGAUUCCCAACCUCGAGAAGUAAAGAUAGCUGCCACAUCAGGUGAUAGGUCGGAUAGAGUAACCUCACGCUCUACUAGGACAUGACGAUGGGAAAACUGGCUCCCAAAGACUUAUUGAGCAAUAGAGGAAAUGAAUCGAGAACGACUAAACGAACCCGAUCCACUACCGGGCUGAGCUGUGGUCCUAGCCCUCUUGGGUGCCA